CAUUUCAAAUAUAUAUAUGUGUGUAAAUUUUUAUGAGUGUAUAGAAAUGCACUGCUCUAAACAGUAGCAAUGUACAUGUAAAAAAAAAAUAUGCAGUGUUAUUUUGAAAAUGAGGUGUUUGAAACUUUUAACUUUUUUUUUUCAUUUCAGAAAUGAAGGUCUCUGAGUUACCUGUAAAAACUGCAGAAUGGCAUCAUCCAUUAACCUGGGACAUGGUCAAAGAAAAGGAAGAAGAACUUAAAAAGCUUGAGGGUGCCAGAUAUCGUCUAUAAGCUAUUUUCCUUAUCUUUUUUCUAGAGGAGAGACUGUGAUUAGUAAUAAGAAGAUUCAUUAUUAAAGUGACGAUAGAACUCACAAAUUUUUGUGCUGUCUGUUUGGUUUUUUAUAGCAGCAAUUUAACACAAAUAAAAAUAAAGAGAAAGC